rnacentral:rRNA from 1 species
GAUGAACGCUGGCGGCGUGCCUAAUACAUGCAAGUCGAGCGAACGGACGAGAAGCUUGCUUCUCUGAUGUUAGCGGCGGACGGGUGAGUAACACGUGGAUAACCUACCUAUAAGACUGGGAUAACUUCGGGAAACCGGAGCUAAUACCGGAUAAUAUUUUGAACCGCAUGGUUCAAAAGUGAAAGACGGUCUUGCUGUCACUCAUAGAUGGAUCCGCGCUGCAUUAGCUAGUUGGUAAGGUAACGGCUUACCAAGGCAACGAUGCAUAGCCGACCUGAGAGGGUGAUCGGCCACACUGGAACUGAGACACGGUCCAGACUCCUACGGGAGGCAGCAGUAGGGAAUCUUCCGCAAUGGGCGAAAGCCUGACGGAGCAACGCCGCGUGAGUGAUGAAGGUCUUCGGAUCGUAAAACUCUGUGAUUAGGGAAGAACAUAUGUGUAAGUAACUGUGCACAUCUUGACGGUACCUAAUCAGAAAGCCACGGCUAACUACGUGCCAGCAGCCGCGGUAAUACGUAGGUGGCAAGCGUUAUCCGGAAUUAUUGAGCGUAAAGCGCGCGUAGGCGGUUUUUUAAGUCUGAUGUGAAAGCCCACGGCUCAACCGUGGAGGGUCAUUGGAAACUGGAAAACUUGAGUGCAGAAGAGGAAAGUGGAAUUCCAUGUGUAGCGGUGAAAUGCGCAGAGAUAUGGAGGAACACCAGUGGCGAAGGCGACUUUCUGGUCUGUAACUGACGCUGAUGUGCGAAAGCGUGGGGAUCAAACAGGAUUAGAUACCCUGGUAGUCCACGCCGUAAACGAUGAGUGCUAAGUGUUAGGGGGUUUCCGCCCCUUAGUGCUGCAGCUAACGCAUUAAGCACUCCGCCUGGGGAGUACGACCGCAAGGUUGAAACUCAAAGGAAUUGACGGGGACCCGCACAAGCGGUGGAGCAUGUGGUUUAAUUCGAAGCAACGCGAAGAACCUUACCAAAUCUUGACAUCCUUUGACAACUCUAGAGAUAGAGCCUUCCCCUUCGGGGGACAAAGUGACAGGUGGUGCAUGGUUGUCGUCAGCUCGUGUCGUGAGAUGUUGGGUUAAGUCCCGCAACGAGCGCAACCCUUAAGCUUAGUUGCCAUCAUUAAGUUGGGCACUCUAAGUUGACUGCCGGUGACAAACCGGAGGAAGGUGGGGAUGACGUCGAAUCAUCAUGCCCCUUAUGAUUUGGGCUACACACGUGCUACAAUGGACAAUACAAAGGGCAGCGAAACCGCGAGGUCAAGCAAAUCCCAUAAAGUUGUUCUCAGUUCGGAUUGUAGUCUGCAACUCGACUACAUGAAGCUGGAAUCGCUAGUAAUCGUAGAUCAGCAUGCUACGGUGAAUACGUUCCCGGGUCU